AAACCUUUCCUUUCCCAUUUAUUUUCCAAACGCAGCCAACAAUUAAACUAAAAGCCACUGCCCUAAAAUCAAAUUUCUAGGGUUUAUUCCAGCAGCCUCCAUUUGCUAAGGCCCGUUCAUCACCAAUUCACCAUUAAAAUUGGUGAGUGAUGUAGAAGCAGCCUUUACUUCCUCCGAAAUCAACAUUCAAAGACCAUUCUCACUUGAUAAUCCGCAUUGCUAACCCCGAUUCCGACGGAGAAGCCAAGGGAUCUCAUCGAUGCGUUUAACGAAGGUAACUUUCUCGCUUUUCUUGCUUUUUAUUUUAAAAAAAACUAAACACACCAGACAUAUCCAUAAGAAAAAGAAAAAAAAUAUUGAAGAUGGAAAAAGAUUUCAAAUUACCUUUUGCUUUUCUUAUAUUUCAGUAUAUGUGUAUAUGUAUAGCAUGCGUCCAUUUUGUAGGUACAUAUCAUUGGCUUUUUAUAGUCGAUUUAUAGAAUAAAUAAAUAAAUAAUAAAAAUAUAUUUUAUUUGCUGUCAUCUGUUGUAUUCUGUUAGCCUCUUUCUCGUGUAUUCUUUGCAGGAUCAUCCGUACGGAGGAGCGGGGAGAGGCACGCUUGAACGAAGCCGUGCGAGGAAUUCGCUCGUGAGACCCAACUCCUUGGCUGGAGCACCCCAAACCCGGCCCAAACGUUAUGACCGGAUCUGACAUGCCACAUCGAAGCGUUCAAAACAUUUUAUAUUGUUGAUCCAGAAAAACUUACUUAGUGUUUUAAAAGAUAAUUUCAUUAUAGGUUAAAGUGAAUGGAAGCUGUGCACCAGGUAGGAAACCGAAAAAGAGGUGGUGAGUCCAUCGGACUGCUUAAGUACCAAGCUCCCUUCGGAUCCAAUCCUAGACAUGCAUACCGCCAUUGCCACACCUUAACGUCAUGGAUAUUUCUAGGAAACCGAUUUGAUUAAGUCAUUUUUAGGAAAAGUGAUUAAUUUUGGAAAAUACUUUCAUUGCGGAAGUUUUGCUUGUUGUCGUGUUAUUUUGAAAUCAACUGUUGUUUUUGAAAACGCGCCCUAAAGCUAUCCAAUUUCAACAGUUAAAAUAAGUAAUACC
rnacentral:lncRNA from 1 species